GCCUUCGUGGUGUAGUGGUCAGCACGCUCGACGAGUACCCGAGAGGUCCGUGGUUCGAUUCCCGGCGAAGGCG
rnacentral:tRNA from 1 species